rnacentral:rRNA from 1 species
GACGAACGCUGGCGGCGUGCUUAACACAUGCAAGUCGAACGGUAAGGCCCUUCGGGGUACACGAGUGGCGAACGGGUGAGUAACGCGUGAGUAACCUGCCCUUGACUCUGGGAUAACAGAUGGAAACGUCUGCUAAUACCGGAUACUCAGCCUUGUGGGCAUCCACAGGGUUGGAAAGCUCCGGCGGUCAAGGAUGGACUCGCGUCCUAUCAGCUAGUUGGUGGGGUAAUGGCCUACCAAGGCGACGACGGGUAGCCGGCCUGAGAGGGCGACCGGCCACAUUGGGACUGAGAUACGGCCCAGACUCCUACGGGAGGCAGCAGUGGGGAAUAUUGCACAAUGGGCGCAAGCCUGAUGCAGCAACGCCGCGUGCGGGAUGACGGCCUUCGGGUUGUAAACCGCUUUCAGCAGGGACGAAGCGCAAGUGACGGUACCUGCAGAAGAAGCACCGGCUAACUACGUGCCAGCAGCCGCGGUAACAC